UACGGGGGGGGGCAAGCGUUUGUCCGGAUUUAUUGGGCGUAAAGAGCUCGUAGGCGGUUCGGUAAGUCGGGUGUGAAACCUCCAGGCUCAACCUGGAGACGCCACCCGAUACUGCUGUGACUCGAGUCCGGUAGGGGAGCGUGGAAUUCCUGGUGUAGCGGUGAAAUGCGCAGAUAUCAGGAGGAACACCAGCGGCGAAGGCGGCGCUCUGGGCCGGAACUGACGCUGAGGAGCGAAAGCGUGGGUAGCAAACAGG
rnacentral:rRNA from 1 species